AUUCUCUGCCGUUCUCGGUGCCCUCGACAGGUCAGGGUGCCCCGUGAGACAGAGAGAGAGAGACGAAGGCAAAAGAAUGCCAUGCUGGCUCGUUUUCUAAAUUUAAUCAUCGGAACAUCAUAAGCUACUUCUCAUGAAGUCCGCUCCCAAAUUCACCCUCGAGGGUGAUCUCCUCAGGGAGCCACAUAGAGCGUGGGUCUCACCCACAUGCGCAGGCUUCGGUGGUCAGUGAACCCAGCUGUGUGCCGGCUGCUCUGACUGGGUCCUCCUGCCAGGCCAGGCCUCGGCUCUAGCUAACCAGUCACCAUGCUUGUAGAAUCCCAGCUCCAAUGGCCUGAGCAGACAGGGGCACGUGAAGCUGGCACAUCUCACCAAAACUCCUGCCUCUGUGCCCAGUACUCAGGCAUAGAGCUGAGUGCAGUCGGGAAGACAAACCAUGAAGGGGUGUGGCUUCAGGCAUGGCUGGAUCCAUCAGCCAGACUAUGUCAUCGAGAGUCCUCUGUCACCCCUGCCAUCCUUCGUGCCAGCUCAGUCUCCUGUUGGAGGUUGCCAGUAACUCAAGGCCUCCAAACUGACACCCAGCAACCCAGAACAGAGCUCCAGUCUCUGAACGGUUCCAUCUAAAGUCCUGGAAUUGGAUUCUGUUGGACCAUAGGCUCCUCACUGAACUAGCCACUGUACCCAGGAGGAUGGAGGAGGCAAACUGGCCAAUCCUGAGUCAUGUCCUUGCCAGCCCCCAUCCCCAACAAACAGUUUGGAAGAGGGUCAGCCCCACCCACACUGCAUGGAAUGAAAGUGGGGGAGGGGAGGUUCUCCAAGGAAAAUCUGGGUGCUGUGGCUGGAAUGAGAGAAGAUGAGGCAGGCAAAGCAGCUAGGGUCCACUGUGCUGGCCACUCGCCCUGGGAAGACAUGGAACCCAUGCAGAGUGAACCUUCUUUACCAUUGCUUCCAAAGGAAAAAGCAAGUCCACGAUCCUGGGGGAGGAAAGUGAUGCUCCGGGACGUUUCCCCUUUGGAGGCUGCUCGAGAUACCUGGCUGAUAAAGGGCUGAUUUGUGGAGACUUAAUUAUGGCCCCAAGCCCUCGGUGUAAACAAUCGAUCAGCCGAGGACUCUUCAGCAUUUCCAUCCAAGAGACGCCCGGCCAGCCGCCAGCCCCCUGUGGGGGGACAAGAAAAUGGUGCAAGGAGACUUGAGCGCCAUGGAAACCCCUCCCACGUUCACGGGAAGCACGCGGCGCUCACCCGGGUGUCUGUAAACGUGGGGUCCGGGGAAAGGGCGAGGCGUGGGCCUGAUCACAAAAGCUGGAAAUCAGGACAGAGGGACCCUAGAAGCUGCUAGGGCUGCCUUGGAAGGAAUAUUCGAGAACACCUUUCACAGGGGAAGACGGUACCUGGCUGGUGGAGGGUCAGAAGCCAGGGAACUGGGCAAACGCCCUUCAGUUUCAAAAAAGGUCACAGAGGCGUCCCCUCGUGUCUUCCCCCCGGCGCCUGGCGGACAGCGGGCGCACCGGGCCCUGGUUCUCCUCGUUCGGGGGCCAGUGAGAGCAGAAAAGCAGGCUCUUGCCAAGCGAACACUGGUCAGGGGACCCCCAGAGAUGAACAGAACCCCAAGGAGGGACUCACUGCUUUUCUCAGCUGGGUGGUAAUGACAGUAAAAACCAUCUUAGAAAAAGAGAAGCUGUUGGCAGGUGCUUGGGAUGACAAGCUGCCUCAAAGAUUCCGAGCCCCAUUCCCGCUGCCCGAAAAGCAGGCCACCUCGUCUGUCUUGCCCGGCCGGACGCCCGUCCACCUGCCCCCGGAUGGAGCCAGGUGAGGCCCCUCCGUGUGCCGCCUGUGGGCCCUGCCCCGCCGCCCGCCUGCCUCCCGUCCUCACCAGCCACUCUGCCUGAGGGCCUGUCCUCUCCAGAGCCCGCUGUCCUCACCCUCCCCAGGCCCUGCUCCUCGCCCUCGUCAGCCACCACGGCUGCCUGUGCCCAGCCGGAACCUCCCUGUGGCUGGGACAGAAACCCUGACUCACAUUCACUUUGGCGGCGAUUCCAGAAGCCAGAGGUUGCUGGGAAAGACAGCCAGCUUUAUGGUGCCUGCUCGUCCGGCCCGUCCCCUGAGCUAUCGCGUUUCUUUCAAAUGUCAUACAAGGGGCGUCGGACGCGGCACCGCUGUGCCCGGCCUCGUGCGAGCUGCGGCUGCCCGUGGCGCCCGGUGUUGGGCCCGGAAGCCACUUCCCGCUGGAGAAUCCUGCCCGGGAGCCUGGGAGCUGGGACUAGUUCUCCGAGGCCAAGGUCAGGGCAACCGAGGCCGGGAGGCCGGCACUGAGAGUGGAUCCUACCUGAGGGCCAGGGGUGGGCGCCCACCAGCUGGUGAGGUGCCCGGGAGACAGCAGGUGUGCGUGCGUGUGUGUGCGUGUGUGCGUGUGUGUGCGUGUGCUCACAUCUUCCUGUCUGUGAGUCUGCCUGAGCGUCCAUGUGAGAGUUUCUGUGCAUGGUCUGCAGAUAGGUUUGUGUGCUUCUGUGUGCACACCUGGGUGUCCAUGUCUCUGAGUGUGUCUAGCGUGGCCAGGUCCAGGCCAGAUACUGGACAGGUGGCGGAGGCCGUGGUUUCAGCCUCAUUGCCCACAGUCUGGAGGGAGUUGGCCGGGGAGCACGGAGUCCCUCCCGGAAGAGUGUAGUCUCUGCGGGGACAGGAAAACCCGAGCGGUGAGGGCAGAGCAUGAGGGGCCAGGGCCCCGGAGACAAGGGACCUGAUGGGGGACCCUCGAUGCUCUGAGGAGGUAACAUGAAAGCUGGGUGAGCAGAGGUGUGUGCGUGUCGGCCAGGUGGGAGGCAGGAGAAAUUUUUCCAGGCAGAGGGAACAGCAUGUGCAGAAGCUGGAGCGAUAAGGGGUAGUAAGGAGACCUCGGUCACAGGAUAAUGACAGCUGAGGGGCCGAGGGGCGGUGGCAGGAGCUAGACACACAGGCCUGGAGGCCACAGCGACAAUGGUGGGCCGGUCCUUGGAACCUCCAGACGGCUUGGUUAGGAAAAUGGCCAGUUCCGUGGCUGUUUAACGGGGACCCUUGGUCUGCUGAGAGCAGGGCUGCAGGGUGCCCGGGAUGAGGCCCGAGCAGAGCAGUCACCCAGUGAGGAGUGACAGCGACCAGUGCCCAGGGAUGGGCUUGCAAAGGCAAGGCAAGGAUGAGGUACAAAGCUUGGUGAUGGGUGGGGUAUGUGAGCCAGCGUGCAAGAGGCUCCCCUGUGUGUGCGUGCCUGUGAGUGUGUGUGCAUACGCCUGCAGAGGGCUGAGGGCCAGGCCCUCUCUAGCCUCAUGCCUGUGUCCCCACAGCCUUAUAGCGGAGCGGACAUGACAGUGACGGUAAGAAGGGCCCGGUGUUGCAACUGCAUUUCCUCUCGAACCCAGGGCCACCAGAGAUUAGCUGAGAGCCCUGUGUGUACUGGGUGAUAACACCCCCACUCCCCCGUUUCCUAAUCUCUGAUUCAUUUCCAACUGAUAACAGGAUGAGGGCCCAUGGGCAGCUAAGAAAUGCCCCAGCAGGGUCCUGCCAAGCGUGGAGCCGAGCCGCCUGCGGGGGGUGGGGGGUCUGAACCACAAAGACAGGAAGAUCAGGGACAGGGUGAGCGUGGGGGGAGACGGGGCAGAGGGACAGGAGAGCUGGAGAGACAGGGAGACAGGGAGACAGAAACAGACACAGAAGAGCCGGGGUCAGGGUAGGGUGAUGAGGAAGAAAGAUAAGGCGGGAGAGAAACAUGGACAGCAACAGCCAGACGGACAGAUGUAUAAAUAGAGAGAGAGGAGUUGAGGGUCCAGGGGCUGGAGGAACUUAGUGAAGAGAAAGAAAAACAGAAGAGACAGUGUGAGAGACAGAGAAACAGGGAAGAGGUGACCCAAGGUCCAGAGAGAAGGGGAGAGUAAAAGGAGGGGGCAAAGGUAGAACGAGAACAUGGGGGCCGGGGUGGGGGAGAGCUGGGCUGACCUGGCCCUCCCUGAGCACAACCCAGGCCUGAGCACAGUGGGGCAGGGCAGGGUGCUGGUCUUGCUGACUUGACCUGCCAGGCACAGGCCGCAGCUGGGACCUGGGAGGCAGGAGCAGUAGCUCUCUCCCCUACACCCCACCACACCCCCUCCCUCACCUUCCAGGGAGCCCUGUCCUCUGAGACCCUCAGGAAGAGAGGAGGAGCAUGCUGGGGCUGUAGGCUGCACAGCUGGGGAGUUGAUGAAGCUAUGCUCCCGUCUGUGGGGCUCAGCCAGGACGAAAGGGACAGGGUAACCCCCAUGCCCAGUGUUUAUUUGUAUCCUGAUGGGGUCUGGUGGGUCCGGAGUGAAGCCGGAAAGUCAAGGUGGGGUGGACGGGACUCAAUCCAGAGGAAGAUGGCAGGGACUAGCAAGCAGGGGACUAGCAGCCCUCCUUGCUGAGCCUGGUGGGGAGCCAGUCGCCCCUCUGUUCCCCUCCCAGACCAGGCACUCCUCUGGGCUCAGCACCUGGGCUCAUGCUCUGCAAUGCUCAGAGGAAGGAAGGUGGCCUCCAGGGACUGUGGAGUCCUGGCCAUGUCUCUCGAAACUCAGCCCCUGUGCUAGUCCCCUCCCUAACAAGGGACAGAAGGUACAGACAAGUGCCCACGUGAGGGGCACGAGGGCCACAGAGCAGGCUACUGGGCUCAGGCCUUCCUUCUGGGAAGGAUGGGGUCCCCCCACCAGACCGGGGGCGGACAGCUUCCCAGAGCAGAAGGGGCAGUGGGCCUCCCCUCAGCAUCUAGAGCCAGGCAGAAAGAAUGGGUGUGUGGACAGGACGGGCAGCGUCUAGAGAUAAUGAGAGGCAGGGAGCAAAUCACCAAGUCCCGGUGGGCAGAAAGGAGCUCUGGGAGGCUCCCCAACAGGGGGCCCACGAUCCCAUGGUGUUUCAGGAAGUCCCUCCAUCCCCAGGACCCCCAGCCCAGACGGGUGAAGGACAAUAGCAGACCGUGCCCCCGCCCCGGUCCUCCUCGCCUGCCCGGGGCCUACGGCCCAGGGAAGGCUCACCUCGCCUCCUCCCGGGGUAGGGCAGCCACCCCUCUGAUUUGCCGUGCCCGCCCUGAUGCCCCGACUGCAGCGACCACAGGAAGUGCUGCCCCAGCUCAGCACUUCCCUUUUCUGAAAUCUGCCCCCAGCAGCCUGGUGGCCAGGGAAGGCAGACUUCCCGCUGCCCCCACCCCGGGGCUCUUUCCACCAGUCACAAGUGGUUUGUUCCUGAGCUUCCCUGGGCAGAGGUGACCUUCUUGCCUCAACCACAGAUCAGUUAUUUAUCAGAACAGGAAAGAUGGCACCAGAGAUAUAUCCUUACCCACCCCAGGAGGGCCUGGCCUGCUCCAACGACCGCACGCCUGCUCCCCACAUCACACGGGGCCUGCUCCCCACAUCACACUGGAGAGUGUGGCCAGCGCGUGCAGGCUGCAUGGGGGAGGGAGCCAAGCGGGAGGCCUCGGGGGCAGGUAGGGCACAGUGUGUGAUGGACCCCAGCUCCAGGUCCAGGGGAGGUCUGUGUGUGAGCUGGGAGCAGUCUGGGCCUCUGGUGCCCUUCAGGUCCCAUAAGACCCACCCCUGCCACAGAUGCAUUCUCAGCCUGUGGCGGGCCCCAGGGCUCCUCUGUCCCCCCAGCUGGGAAUACCUUGGGCCCUGGGUCUCAGGCUGCUCCCCUGCCCCUUCAUCCCGUAGCGAAUACAGGGCUCAUCCCCUGAGGAUUCAGGAUCCACUUGUGAGAAAGGGUGGAAGAAGCUUUCAAGUUUCUUCAACAGCAGUACUAUUGAUGUUCUAGGCUGGAUAACUGAUUCGGUGUGGUUAGGGUUGUUCCAGGCAUUAGAGAAUCUUUAGUGCCAACCCCGGCCUCUAUUCACUAAAUGGCAGGAAUAUUCCCCUGCCACCACCACCGUUACCGGUCACAACAAUCAAAAUUGUCUUCGGACGUUGCCAAAUAUUCCCUGGGAGGACAAAAUUGUCCCACGUCAAGAACCACUGAUCUAGGUACAACGGAAGGCCCAAGCUGCCCCGUGGCUAGAACGUGUCAGGGCUCAACUGGCCUGUCUUAUAGUUUUGUGCUAGAAGGUCAUGGGCUGAAGCGACAGUAACUGGUCAGAGUCUGGGGUUCUUGGAAGCUGGAGGGUGUGUCUGAGGAAUCUGUGCUUCAGGGCUCCCUCUGGGGUUCUGGGCAUAAUCGUGCCAAAGAAACAGGGGCUGGAAAGGGGAGCCCCUGGGACUGGAAAGGAGGUGGUGAAGCUGGGAGGUUUCAUUGAAGGGGAGGUCAAGAUGUACUACGGGGGGGGGGGGUAUGAACUGAGUUGCCUCAGGGCCAUGGGCCAUUUAGAGGGUAGGAGAGAAAGACUGGGAGAGACUUCAGAAUCAGGGCAGGAGACGAGGAUAGGAUACGUGUCCUGGACUCCCUGAGGUGGUGAGCUGGAGUUGACCCCCUUCCAUAAAGCCCAGGGCUGAAAAGACUGUCCCAUGCAAAGGGGACUCGCAAAGCUGACCCAAGAAAGUGUAAUGAAGCUUUCCAUCCUCUGGGGUGGGAAAAAGUCGUCCCUUUUGAGAAACCAAAACCCUAGCCAGAGCCAUGAAUAAAGGUGGGAUUCAAAUCAUGCAAUCCAGGCCUUAUAGAACCCCAAAUCUAGAAAAUAACAUAAAAAAUGAUGUAGGACCAUAAAGAAACUUACUUCCACUGACUUUGUAUGGGCACUUCCACAGCCCAGGAAAAUGACCAUGGUGGUGGUGGGGGGGGAAUUAUUCCCAAUAAAGAUGAGCUCACGGGCGCCUGGGUGGCUCAGAUGGUUAAGCGUCUGCCUUCGGCUCAGGUCAUGAUCCCAGAGUCCUGGGAUCGAGUCCCGCAUCGGGCUCCCGGCUCAGCGGGGAGUCUGCUUCUCCCUCUGACCCUCUCCCCUCUCAUGCUGUUUCUCUCUCGCUCACUCUCUAAAAAAUAAAUAAAAUCUUAAAAAAAAAAAAAAAAGAUGAGCUCACAAUAAAAAGAAGUCAUGAAUGACCCAAAAAAGCAAAUCGCUAUGUCAGCAGGAGAUCUUAGAUCUAAAGAUAUUAGUACAAUUUGAAAAAGACUACGUAAUACAUAUAUUUUAAAUUAUCAAGGAGAUAGAAGAGGGAGUAGGAAACAUAAUAAAAGUAUUACCUAAAAAUAAAGGGCAGCUAGAUUUCUAAGGAAAUUAAAUAGUCAUCGAAGUGUAAAAUAAAAACUCAGUGGAUGGAUUCAUCACAAACUAGUUGUGGUGGGGGAGGGGAUUGGAAAACUGGGACAGUACGUCUGAGGAAAUGUCAUGAAAUGCAGCACAGAGACAUAAAAACAAAGGAAAAUGAGACUGUAAGGCUCUUGGAGGAAAAAGUCAAAUGGUCCAAAAAAGUUCAACAUACAUACAAUAGGAAUUCCAGAGGGUGAAAACAGGAAAAAUUCAAGAUGUAAUGAUUGAGAAAUUUCCAGAACUAAGGAAUGAAUCUUCACAUUGGACCCUAAGAAGGAGAAGUAAAAAUAAAUUCACACCAGAGUAAAACUACAGAACACUAAAAACAAAAAGGUAAUCUUAAAAGUAGAGGCCAUACCUCAGAGAUAUUGUGGUAUAUUGCAAUAAAGCAAAUACUGCAAUAGAGUGAGUCAAAUGACUUUUUUUGGUUUCCCAAUUCAUAUAAAAGUAUGUUUACACUGUACUACAGCCUGUUAAGUGUGCAACAGUAUUUUGUCUUUAAAAAUGUACAUAUCUUAGGGGCACCUGGGUGGCUCAGUCGUUAAGCGUCUGCCUUCGGCUCAGGUCAUGCUCUCAGGGUCUUGGGAUCGAGCCCCGCAUCGGGCUCCCCGCUCGGUGGGAAGCCGGCUUCUCCCUCUCCCACUACCCCCUGCUUGUGUUCCCUCUCUCGCUGUGUCUCUCUCUGUCAAAUAAAUAAAUAA